rnacentral:rRNA from 1 species
UGGCGGACGGGUGAGUAAUGUCUGGGAAACUGCCUGAUGGAGGGGGAUAACUACUGGAAACGGUAGCUAAUACCGCAUAACGUCGCAAGACCAAAGAGGGGGACCUUAGGGCCUCUUGCCAUCGGAUGUGCCCAGAUGGGAUUAGCUAGUAGGUGGGGUAACGGCUCACCUAGGCGACGAUCCCUAGCUGGUCUGAGAGGAUGACCAGCCACACUGGAACUGAGACACGGCCCAA